GAGUAACAGCAGAUUCAAAUGUCAGUGUUACUCAUAAUACGGAUCACCUUAUAACUGCACUGCUCAAUGAAUACUUACUAACACUUUACAUUAGGCAGCAUCAAGGAGAAGUAUGUGAGGAUCAAGAACAGCUGAGAAACUAAAGACAUGGAAGUCAGUGUUGGUUUCAGGUGAACUAUACUGCAGGCAAAGCAAGGCUGUUACACAUCUUUUUGGGCUGCAACCCAAAGGGCCCUGUCAGAGAUAAGUAAUGGAGUGUGAUGAAGACAGCUUGAGCUCUACUAUGAAAAAAAUUAUGGACUUGUUCCCAAAAGGUAACACUGAGAAGCUUUGUGAAGCUGAUGACUUUCAUUUCUGAUAGCAGAUGGCUGCCAGUUGCACAUUUCCCUCUCAUCCUCACUUUCCCUUCCUCUCUGCACUGUUCUCUUCUCUUCAGGCUUUUGUGAAGGUGCAAAGCCAGAGCGUCCCCUGCUUUGCUCAGUCGCGGUCACUGCUGGAAGCAUUAUGCAGCUGCACAGUUCUGAAGGCUGGGGAUUGCCAGGAUGAUUCACAAAAGGAAAUAGCUUGUUUUCCUGAACAAUGAACACAGUUACUGCAAAGAAUGGCUCCAGAUGCGGUUUUGCUCUACAUCUGAAGUAAGAGCUCUGGUCCAGACCCGUUACAGAGAGGAUUUGGAUGGCGAUAUGGCUUCAUCACAGCUCAAGGUUAAACUCAGAACAUGGCCAGAAUUUCAGGCUUUAAUGGCACCCCUAAGUUACAUAUCCACUCCCUCCCCAGGAAUGGAGACCUGUGAGACAACAGGAUGCUCUUCUCCAUUACAGCUGGUUUAACUCUUUCAAAUUUACACUGAAAACAAACACUUGUAGUUUUACUGUUUUUUUAUACUUAUCACCUUUAUUUCAAGAAACUUACUUGAGGCACAUGCAUUUCAAUGUAAGAAGAAAUCUUACUAUUAUUUACUUUAAACUCUUGUAUAACACAAGAAAACAUAAAGCCUGGCCCUGCUACCACCAAGUCCACGUAACGGUUUCAGUCUGUACACAUGGAGCAAAACAGUUAAACAAAUGAUUUACAGCUGUACUGAACUGUGAUGAUUUCCUUAAAUGUGGCUACAAGGAAGAACAACUUGUAAUUAUCUGUAAAAGAAAUUUUUUUUUCAUUAUUUUUAUUUUGUUUUAAAUUACGUUCACAUGUGCCCUCUGGAGUACAUAUGCUAAGGCCAAUGAAAUAUCACCAACUGAAGCUAUAUUUGAAUUGUGCUUAUGUUUGACCAAUUAUAGAAAAACCUGAAUGCAACUAUACAAGCUUAAUCACAUCAUCAAGACUCCUGCUCUACCCAGUAUAAAUGGGGGCUGGGGGAUUGUCUGUGAAUGCUGCAAGCAGAACCUAAAAAUGAGAUGUCCCCUGACAUGCUUUGUAGAGAGCCUCUUUUAAAGCUCCAGGUCACUGCUGAUACCUAUGGAGAAGCAUUCUCCAGCUCCAUCUCCAAAACUGUGAGAAGGGCUCCUUCUCACCCCUGCAAGCCUGUUUCUCUCACUUGUGCUGAGCUUACAUCCCUUACUGGAUCUGCUUCAGCUCCCAUAAUGCUUAGGAGGAGUUGGUGCCAUUCUUAUCUGAAUGUCUCUAAUUAAGAGAACAAAGUUUGAAUGCAGAAGUAACUUCUAAUUGUGCAAUGCAAUAUUCACAAGAAAAAUGAGAGACUGCCAAGAUCUAAUUAUUUACCAUCACUGGAGCAUUGCUACUCUCAGUAGGCAACAAUGUGCAAAAGUACUUUAGCCUCACUGCAUGUGUGUGGGAGUAUGUGCACUGCUGAACAGCCUUUUGUUGCUUUAUGAUAGAUCUUUGGAGUACUUACAGUUAAUUGGUUGGAUGUGAGCAAUUUUAAUGGUUUUAAUAAUGAAAUCAACAAUAUGCAGAAGAGAAAACUCAGCAAAAGGACAUGUACGUGCAUGCAGAUUAUUAUAUUCCUUCCUUUGUGCCUGUUUGAGAUUAGAACUCUUGGGAAGUCUGAAUGCACUUCCCGGGUAGACUAGAUAAGAGGCAAUUUUUGCAUGCUCUGCACUGAAAGGACAGAAUGGCAUGAACAUAUCUCUCCACGUGCACAGAUGUUCCAAAAUGGGGAAGGUAAGGAAGAAGGAAAAACUCCAGUCUUGGAAGAAAAAAAUCCCACUCUAAAAUAUAUGUGAUUAUAUGCAAUAUAAAUGUUUUCAUUGUAACAAACAUGACCACAGAAAUCCACUAGAACCAACUCUGUAAACAAACCCUCCAACUAAAAACUCCAUGUAUAAAAUUCUGCUAUUACACUGUUGAACAAGUAAACAGAAGAAAGUCAGUAUGACAGAAAAGCUUCGCUGCUCAGAGUGCUACACUGCUGGUAUUCAAAGAAAUACACAGCCCUGCCCCUCCUGCCUCCAUCUUCCCACUCCUCUCCACCCUGAUGUCUGACACUAAAGUUUAGGAUAUUUUUAUUCACAGUAAUUCCAUAUCAGAAAACACGCUCUGAAUAAAGUUCAGUGAUAUUUUUCAUAUGGCAUAUUGAAAACAUUCCAAGUCUAAUAUCUGAGAACUUUUGUAACUAGAUGUCUCAUCAACAAUUUAAUUGCCCAAUGGCACACCUGAAAAUCCAUCAUUUCCCUGUGCUGAAAUCUGCUAUAUAAACCAGGAUUUCCUAUCUGAAAACAGGACACCAAGCUGAACUUCUGUGUAAUUCGCCCCAUGAAGGGCUCAUUAUACAGCAGGUGCAUUAACGUGGGACACUGCAAAGCCAGGGACAUUCAUCAAUCACGGUCCUGAUGUUGUCUCCACAUCAACCUUCACACAGUUCUGCCAACUAAGAAAAAGAUAUGGUAAAGGCUGUCCCCAGUGCACAAAAUGGCAGCAUUCAGUUAGCAAGCAAAGCUAUCCCUGCACCCCCCAGCUUUAAACUCUAGCAGCAGUGUACCUACGGCUUCAUAAUCCGCCAGCUCCAGCCUAGCUUUGUUCUGCAUGGUCCGUUUGCAAAGAUAGAUGGCUAAAGGGAGAAACAGAAUGGAAAACAGUUACAGACAGAUUAUUAGUAGUAGAUUCUAAAAAAAAAAAAAAAAAAAAAAAAGAAGGAAAAAAGUAGACAGCUCGUUUUCAUCAGAAACCAACAUGAAUCAAGGAAUGAGAGGGCUGAACACCCAGCUGACAUUGCUUACAGCUCAUCUCAGAGGCCCUAAACAUCUGGGACAUCUCAUUUAAAAGUGCUGAGAGCAGAUGCCAGGACCUAACAAGAAGUCCAAAAAAGGCACAAUUGCUUCUGGAUAUAGCAUUAGCAACCUGUUCCCCUAAGCAGGUUGGGAAUAUGCAUGCUGAAGUCACCAUCCCUGCAUUUCUUUUCUGCUAAGAAAAAGUAAAAAUAAAUCAGGAUAUUGAUGCGAAAACAGAAAUAAGGGCCAGAUCUUAGAGGUAUGAUCUGAGAAUUUUUUAAUAAGCUCCAUCUACUUAUUCUUACAUACUUCAAAUGAUUAAGAGAAGCCCUGUCACAUUUUGCUAUAGGCACAGACUGCUGAAACUGAUGUGGUUUGGGAUUCUGAGAUUCAAGAUGAGCCCAGUGCACACCACCAAACCAGUCCCAGGCUACCUCCUGGGAAAGCCCCACCUGGAUCUGCUAGAUCAUCCCAUUUUCAUUACAGGCUGAAACACAAGGUCCACAGCACACUCUGGGUACAUAGUCAGGUCUGAACGUAAUAGAGGCCCAGUGCUACUCAUGAAAUUCUAUUCUACGCUGUUUCUGUAAUUUUAACACUCAUAUAAUGAGCCAGUUUUAUGCAUUGUAACCAGAGCAGACCAGUUCAUUUAUAUUUACACAUCUCAAGGGCAGUUUCCUCUGUAAGGCACUUACGACACCAAAUGAAGUGAGUCAGUUGUCUCACAGCGUUUUUUCACGCAAGGCAGUGACCUGCCAUUAGCAAGUUAGUUCCUCUCCUGUAAGUGGACACAUGCAAAUAAAAAAAAGUAUGAAGUGC